rnacentral:rRNA from 1 species
UACGUAGGGGGCAAGCGUUGUCCGGAAUCAUUGGGCGUAAAGAGCGUGUAGGCGGCCCGGUAAGUCCGCUGUGAAAGUCCAGGGCUCAACCCUGGAAUGCCGGUGGAAACUGUCGGGCUAGAGUCCGGAAGAGGCGAGUGGAAUUCCUGGUGUAGCGGUGAAAUGCGCAGAUAUCAGGAGGAACACCAAUGGCGAAGGCAGCUCGCUGGGACGGUACUGACGCUGAGACGCGAAAGCCAGGGGAGCGAACGGG